rnacentral:rRNA from 1 species
GCAGUCGACGGAGAUCGAUUUCGGUUGUAUCUUAGUGGCGAACGGGUGAGUAACGCGUGAACAACCUGACUCUAAGAGGGGGAUAACACUCGGAAACGGGUGCUAAUACCGCAUAAGACCACGACCCGGCAUCGGGAUGAGGUCAAAGGAGCAAUCCGCUGAGAGAGGGGUUCGCGUCCCAUUAGAUAGAUGGCGGGGUAACGGCCCACCAUGUCAACGAUGGGUAGCCGAGCUGAGAGGCUGAUCGGCCACACUGGAACUGAGACACGGUCCAGACUCCUACGGGAGGCAGCAGUGGGGAAUAUUGGGCAAUGGGCGCAAGCCUGACCCAGCAACGCCGCGUGAGGGAAGAAGGCUUUCGGGUUGUAAACCUCUGUCCUUGGUGACGAAACAAAUGACGGUAGCCAAGGAGGAAGCCCCGGCUAACUACGUGCCAGCAGCCGCGGUAAUACGUAGGGGGCGAGCGUUGUCCGGAAUUACUGGGCGUAAAGGGUGCGUAGGUGGCCUUUUAAGUUGGAUGUGAAAUACCCGGGCUUAACUUGGGGGGUGCAUCUAAUACUGGAGGGCUAGAGUGCAGGAGAGGAAAGCGGAAUUCCUAGUGUAGCGGUGAAAUGCGUAGAUAUUAGGAGGAACACCAGUGGCGAAGGCGGCUUUCUGGACUGUAACUGACACUGAGGCACGAAAGCGUGGGGAGCAAACAGGAUUAGAUACCCUGGUAGUCCACGCGGUAAACGAUGAAUACUAGGUGUAGGGGGUAUCAACUCCCCCUGUGCCGGAGCUAACGCAAUAAGUAUUCCGCCUGGGGAGUACGGCCGCAAGGUUGAAACUCAAAGGAAUUGACGGGGGCCCGCACAAGCAGCGGAGCAUGUGGUUUAAUUCGAAGCAACGCGAAGAACCUUACCAAGGCUUGACAUCCACUUAAACGCAUGGAAACAUGCGGUCUCUUCGGAGAAAGUGAGACAGGUGGUGCAUGGUUGUCGUCAGCUCGUGUCGUGAGAUGUUGGGGUUAGGUCCCGCAACGAGCGCAACCCCUAUUG